AGUGCCUGCCGGGAAGCCAAUGUACAUUUGUCCACCUUCCAGGCUUUAAACUGAGAGGGCACACUGAGGCUGGCAUGCCAAAGUAUCUCCCAAAAUCUCUGUGUCCUAAGGAAUAUCUGAGAAGUUACUAAUCAGGGACACUCUUUCUUCCUGGAUCCCAAGCAAAACCGGAAGAAAUCGGAGAAAGCAUUGCCUCCAACAGUUGUGGUGUAAAGCAAGAAAGUGUGUGUUUUCCUUGAAGAAUCCUGACUCUUAGAAGGUGUGAAUUUGGGGGCCGUGGUCAGAAUCACACAACCUGCUCCCUGAGGAUGGCAGCGCUCCCUUCGGCCACUCCAGGUGCUGAUGUGACUGUCCCUCCAGGUAGGGGAGGGAAGGAGGCUUGGAGAUGUUAAAGACCCAUCACCUGCAAGAGACUUGGUGAGUUGAAUAGGUUAAGGUGUUAGUUUGGCACUACUCACUUCCGCUGGGUCCAGCUUGCAGCAAGGAAGCCUUUGAGUGAUAUAAGAAAGUACUGAGGAUUCUUUCUACAUUAGGAGUGAACACUUUUGAUGACUAAUGAAAAUGUGCCUCAUUGGCCCAAACCUGAACCUUUCAGGAAGUGGGUUGUGAGAAGUCCUGAUUAGCGUGAAAUUAUAUUUUCCCAUAAUGUUCCGGCCCCAGUGCACAAAGACCUAUAGGGCUGUGAUUCCCACGGUAAGAAAAUUUACCCAGGCACUUGUGAUUGUGUGGACUUGCCCUCAAAUGUUACUUCCCAGCCCCGCUCCCAAACCCUGAAAAGCACUCUUCACUCACAUGGAAAAGCAUCAUCACUUGGGAAAGACUCGCCAAGAUUUCCCAUCCUUGUUCCAGCGAAUGGAGCACAAAGCACAACCUAAUGAAAGCCCUUUAUCAGAUCAGUUCCUGUGGGCCUUGUGCUCCAUCCACACCCCUCUGCCCAGGAGAGGAGAGCCCUGGGACGAACACUAGGUCAGGCCAUACCCCUCCGAAGCCCCCACCCCACUCCACCCUGGAUCUGGGGGAGAGUCUACUAUUUAAAGCCAUCGCUGAACCUACUGUCGCAGGCUUCUGGCCCUGUAAGAAAGAAAAGAGGUUAGGCUUUCACCCUUUAGAAACUCAACAUGAACUUAUCACAUUCAUGUACUGUUGGGUUUGUUUCCACGUGUUAAUUGUCCAUAAGUAACUUCCCGAACAAAGAUCCUUUCCCUGCCCCAAGCUUCCAAAGCGGAUGUGCGGUCCUUAAAUAAAUACACAUCAAAGCGUUUUACCUAUUUCCCUAUAAGCCUGGGGCAAAAUUAGCAUAAGAUAUGAUGAGUUGUUUAACACUUCUUAUCUCACAGAUCAAACAGCUGCCAAUAGGGCCAUCGCAGAUAGAAAAAAAAAAUCUCAAAUCAUCUGCCAGAGUCAUCAGAAUCUCGAACCAUCCGCCAGAGGUCCACAGACAGCUAUGCCCCUAGAGAGCCUGUGGGUCGCAAGAGUGAUCAGAGCCAAGCUGCAGGUGUCCAGCCUCAGAGGAAAAGCCUGGAGCACACACAGCCGGCCUGCCAGUAGAAAAGAUACGGGGCUGGCAUUUCUCUCUGCGUCCCUGAGCAAGGUCCAGGAAGCCCAGUUCACCCGACCACAGGCCACACAGAGCCCCUGCCAGUCCCAGGGGUCCAUAGCAGCCUGAUGCAGCCACCAUAAGCCCAGAGCAGCUGGCAGCAGCUGGCAGGGAGGGGAAGGGAAUGGGGGCGGCAUCGCCCCCUGUUACAGAUGUCUCAGCAAUCAAGUCUGGUGAUGGGCAAGCGAUGACGGUUGAACACCUGGCUGUGCUAUGGCUUUACAAACCUGUCACAGGCACUGAAAGCACAAUCACAUGUUGGGUGGAGGGUGGAUAACUGGCUGCAAAUGCAUCUCUUCAUCAUGGCAAGAUAGGGGGAGUCAGGCCAUGCAUGGUCCCUGACAUUUGGAAGAGUUAACUUGGGCCGAGGUCUUCAGUAACAAAAUACCAUCACAUACAAAGACUGAAGGGUGACAGGUGGCCCCAUUAGGAAAGAAUUCACAAAGCUUCAUUUCUAAUCAUCACUUAGAGACCGAAAUAUAAUGAUCUCUUUUAUUCCAUCAAGUACGAGUUGUCGUCGUCUUGCUAUAAGAAGAAUGAGCCUCCGCCCUUUGGAAAUUCAGCAUGAACUUCUCCUUUUCACAUACUGUUUGGUAUAGUUUUCACAUGUUAAUUGUCCAAUAAGCAACUUCCUGAACAAAGAUCCUUUUCCCUCCCACGCAUCGACGCUGGCGCUGGGUCUCUGCAUGAAUGCAAUUCGAAGCAUGUUGUCUAUUACCUGAUAAACCUAAGACAAAAUUAACAUAAAAGAGAAGGAGGCUAUUUAACUCUUCCUGUCUUAUGGAUCAAAUACAUCUAAGAUGGAAAAAGAGGAUCAUCACAGAAUGCAUUGGAAGAGAAUAAAAUCUUCAAGUAGUAUUCUUUUUUGGGGGGGGUCUUUUAGGGCCACAUUCGAGGCAUAUGGAAGUUCCCAGGCUAGGGGGCGGAAGUCGAAUCAGAGCUACAGCUGCCAGCCUACAUACACCAGAGCCACAGCAACUCGGGAUCUGAGCCGCAUCUGUGACCUACACCACAGCUCACGGCAAUGCCGGAUCCUUAACCCACUGGGUGAGGCCAGGGAUGGAACCCGCAUCUUCAUGGAUCCUAGUUGGAUUCCUCACCGCUGAGCCACAACGGAACCCCAAAGUAGUAUUUCUGUUUUCUGGCAUUAACUUCAUCUCAUAUGUAACACACAUGUUAUUUGUAUCUCUCACCACACUUUUACGUUGUUAAAGUUGUAUCCAUUUAUAUACUUUACAACAUAAAAAAUGAAAUAUGAGAAUCCUAUUAAAUACCCUGAAGUCAGAUUUUUAUAACUAAAUUUUUCUCUGGCUUUUUAUCACUUACGAAAUUGUCUGGGUAAAAAUUUGAUGCCUGUAAUUUAAUAUUCAAUGGUAAUGAGAAGCUAAGCAAGUAUAUACAUGAGUGACUGGAUACUGUCUCCUCUGCUGACUGCUCUCUCUCAGUGAGGAGGGCCCCAAUUUUGAGAAGCUGCUUAUAGAGUUGGGUCUGCUCCCCACCUCCUUCCACCUUGACUUUCUAGAUUGAUCUGUGGGCAUCUUCCAAGAGCGGACUAUGGCUUAGAGAAAGCACCGUUGGCAAAGUAUUUAAUGAUAUUCCCUGCAGUUACUUGACCAAAUAAGACUGAAUCUUUAUAGCAAAGAGAGAAAACAAAAUUAUUUACUCAUUCAGUAUUUAUGAGUUUGGCAACAGGGCACAGUCCCCAGCACAGCGAAGGGCUGAUGUUUGCUCUAGCAAGGUACCCUCCCCCUGUUCCUUCAGAAGGUGGGAAGGAGAGGUUUACAGUUCCUGAGCUAAUGUUGACUCUUUGUAGCACAAUUCUCUGUGUUUUAGGGAGCAAUUAAUUCUCAUAAUUGACAUUGGUACAACAUGGAUCUUUAAAGAUUUAUGAAAGAGUGUUCUGCCUCAGCACCAGCAUUUAUUUCUAAGAGUAUCCCCAGGCAUUGCCACCAUGGCCCCUGGGACACCAGAUAUGAAGGGGACCAGAAGGUGGGCAGAGCUGGGAGCAGAAGUGUCACGUCUGAGCUGGGACGGCUCAGGCUUGAGGAUGGCGCGUGCUAAGCCUGGGCCACGCCAGCCUCAUGUCUAAUCCAAAGCUGUAAGUGGGCACCUGGGAGACCCGAGAUGGCGUUCGAGGAAGCAGGCUGAGAGUGAGACCGCGGAGCCUGAAAUGGGGCUCCUGGCUCUUUAGACUGUGGUCAUGUGGCUGUCCACACCAAAGGUGUGCCAUCUAACCAAAUAUCAGCCCAUCAUUCCAUUGCUCUUUGGGAUGAUGCAUGCUUUAGGAUUGUCCUUGGAGAAGGUAUUGACCCCAGUACAGGCAGGCUUUGAGCUUUACACUUUGGUUCAUGAAGUAAGCCCUAACUCAGAGUUAAAUGAUUAACUAUGAAGAUUAAUAAUGGGGCAGGGGAAGAGAGGACGAUGAAGGGGGCAGCUGAUAGGGAAGGAUGGGGGGGAGUAGUAUUUACUAAGCACCUACUGUGUGCCAAGCACUCUGCUAGACCCUUUAUAUGUGUGUUGUUUCAAAAUCCCCACAAGAACCCUGGCAGGUGGGUAUAAUUAGCCCUAUUGACAGAAAACAGAGACUUCAGGAGGAAGGAUAAUGUGUCAAGCCAAUCACUGGCUGUAGCAGUGCUGGCCUUCCCCCCCAGGAUACCGGACACAGUGCAAUUUCUUCCAUGAAGCCCUGCAGAUGCUCCAAAGACACACCUUACAUCCUCACCUGUGAUCCCCCCCUCCCGCCCCAGUCUCUCUGAGAGAUAAAAAUGUUCUUUCCUGGCUCCAAGUGGUGGCCCCAAGGGAGGGAUUAGGUGCUUCAUUUCUGAGCCUCCCCCAAGCCCCCAGUCUCCAUCCAUCACGACAAACACUCCAUAUGGCGACAAUGUAUAUAAAAAUAGCGUGAGCUUGCUAGGGAAGUGCAACUUCAAAGCCAACAGACUUCGAGAGUCACCUUCUAACCAGAUUGCUACCUCCAAGCCCCUCUCACCUGGAGAACUUGGAGUCUCCCUGGAUUUACAAAAUAACUUGUCAACAUCUCUUAGACUGAAGGCGCCCUGAGAGGAGGAAUGGUGUCUGCUCAACCUCACACAGCAUCUCAUGGGCUACACCCAGCACCUGAUCUAUUAAAACGUCCCAUCGAUACUGGCGAAAUGAAGGAAGGAAGACGAAUCUGUGCCUUCUUCAGCAUUAACUAAAAAAGCCUUUAUCAGGCAGGCUCCCCUUCUCGACGUCCCUUCCCCUGGGAGAGAAAUGUCCCUGCAGCUCUUGGAUCACUCCUAGAACUUUCUGUACCCACCCUGAGCCGAGCAAGGCUGUGACAUUCUGAGAACACCAGCGAGGUGCCAAGGUUAAUGCACCCCCCGAAAAAAGGAGCCACGCUCGGGCCCAGAGAUAGCGGGUGUUAAAUAUACACGUGAAAACCAAACUGCUCUUUCUUGGGGUGUGAUGAGAAGAGGUUCUCUGCCUUUCAAGAAAGGUUUGGGUAAAGGAACUCAGCGAAGCCCCAGCGGCCUGAGACUGAAAGCAGGCGGUCCAUAAUUUAUCGCUUAUCUGAGUAAGAGCUGUCUUAGACACACGGAAGUCAUUAGCUGAGCACGCUUGGGUGGGAGGCACCACUCAGGUACCUGGCACGGUGAGUCCAGAAGGAACAGGACCCGGCCUGGUCAGCAUCUAAAUCUCUGAACUAAAAUUACCGGGGCAGAAAACACUUGGCACCGUCACCACAUCCUCCACUCCCACCUCCGUGGAGCAACAUGUGCCCUUCCCCCCCCCAAAAAAAAAGAAGAAAAAAA
rnacentral:lncRNA from 1 species